CUACUCUAGGCGGUGGAUCACUCGGCUCGUGCGUCGAU
rnacentral:rRNA from 3 species